rnacentral:rRNA from 1 species
UGGCGGACGGGUGAGUAACGCGUGGGUAACCUGCCUUGUACUGGGGGACAACAGUUGGAAACGACUGCUAAUACCGCAUAAGCGCACAGCUUCGCAUGAAGCGGUGUGAAAAACUCCGGUGGUACAAGAUGGACCCGCGUCUGAUUAGCUGGUUGGUGAGGUAACGGCCCACCAAGGCAACGAUCAGUAGCCGACCUGAGAGGGUGACCGGCCACAUUGGGACUGAGACACGGCCCAA